rnacentral:rRNA from 1 species
GUAGGACGCGAGCGUUAUCCGGAGUUACUGGGCGUAAAGGGUGGGCAGGCGGCCGUGUCAGAUGGGUGUGAAAUCUCCCGGCUCAACCGGGAGGGGCCACUCGUGACUGCACGGCUGGAGGGCAGCAGAGGCGCGUGGAAUUCCGGGUGGAGUGGUGAAAUGCGUAGAGAUCCGGAGGAACACCAGAGGCGAAGGCGGCGCGCUGGGCUGCACCUGACGCUGAACCACGAAAGCCAGGGUAGCGAACGGGAUUAGAAACCCCGGUAGUCCUGGCCGUAAACGAUGUCAACUGGGCCUUGGUAUGGAAGCAUAUCAGGGCCGGAGCGAACGCGCUAAGUUGACCGCCUGGGGAGUACGACCGCAAGGUUA